AUACGGGGGGUGCAAGCGUUAAUCGGAAUUACUGGGCGUAAAGCGCGCGUAGGCGGUUUGCUCAGUCGGAUGUGAAAGCCCAGGGCUCAACCUUGGAACUGCAUACGAUACUGGCAAACUAGAGUGUGAGAGAGGAUAGUGGAAUUUCCGGUGUAGCGGUGGAAUGCGUAGAUAUCGGAAGGAACAUCAGUGGCGAAGGCGACUGUCUGGCUCAACACUGACGCUGAGGUGCGAAAGCGUGGGUAGCAAACAGGAUUAGAUACCCCUGUAGUCC
rnacentral:rRNA from 1 species